GUUCCCUUGGUCUAACGGAAAUGACAAAGGACUUCUAACCCUUUAAUGCUGGUUCGAUUCCAGCAGGGAACG
rnacentral:tRNA from 1 species